UAGACCCGAAACCCGGUGAUCUAGCCAUGGGCAGGUUGAAGGUUGGGUAACACUAACUGGAGGACCGAACCGACUAAUGUUGAAAAAUUAGCGGAUGACCUGUGGCUGGGGGUGAAAGGCCAAUCAAACCGGGAGAUAGCUGGUUCUCCCCGAAAGCUAUUUAGGUAGCGCCUCGUGAAUUCAUCUCCGGGGGUAGAGCACUGUUUCGGCUAGGGGGCCAUCCCGGCUUACCAACCCGAUGCAAACUGCGAAUACCGGAGAAUGUUAUCACGGGAGACACACGGCGGGUGCUAACGUCCGUCGUGAAGAGGGAAACAACCCAGACCGCCAGCUAAGGUCCCAAAGUCAUGGUUAAGUGGGAAACGAUGUGGGAAGGCCCAGACAGCCAGGAUGUUGGCUUAGAAGCAGCCAUCAUUUAAAGAAAGCGUAAUAGCUCACUGGUCGAGUCGGCCUGCGCGGAAGAUGUAACGGGGCUAAACCAUGCACCGAAGCUGCGGCAGCGACGCUGAUGCGUUGUUGGGUAGGGGAGCGUUCUGUAAGCCUGUGAAGGUGGCCUGUGAGGGUUGCUGGAGGUAUCAGAAGUGCGAAUGCUGACAUAAGUAACGAUAAAGCGGGUGAAAAGCCCGCUCGCCGGAAGACCAAGGGUUCCUGUCCAACGUUAAUCGGGGCAGGGUGAGUCGACCCCUAAGGCGAGGCCGAAAGGCGUAGUCGAUGGGAAACGGGUUAAUAUUCCCGUACUUGGUGUUACUGCGAAGGGGGGACGGAGAAGGCUAUGUUGGCCGGGCGACGGUUGUCCCGGUUUAAGCGUGUAGGUGUGUGUUCCAGGUAAAUCCGGUUCACUUUAACACUGAGGCGUGAUGACGAGGCACUACGGUGCUGAAGCAACAAAUGCCCUGCUUCCAGGAAAAGCCUCUAAGCAUCAGGUAACAUCAAAUCGUACCCCAAACCGACACAGGUGGUCAGGUAGAGAAUACCAAGGCGCUUGAGAGAACUCGGGUGAAGGAACUAGGCAAAAUGGUGCCGUAACUUCGGGAGAAGGCACGCUGACACGUAGGUGAAGUGAUUUACUCAUGGAGCUGAAGUCAGUCGAAGAUACCAGCUGGCUGCAACUGUUUAUUAAAAACACAGCACUGUGCAAACACGAAAGUGGACGUAUACGGUGUGACGCCUGCCCGGUGCCGGAAGGUUAAUUGAUGGGGUCAGCGCAAGCGAAGCUCCUGAUCGAAGCCCCGGUAAACGGCGGCCGUAACUAUAACGGUCCUAAGGUAGCGAAAUUCCUUGUCGGGUAAGUUCCGACCUGCACGAAUGGCGUAAUGAUGGCCAGGCUGUCUCCACCCGAGACUCAGUGAAAUUGAACUCGCUGUGAAGAUGCAGUGUACCCGCGGCAAGACGGAAAGACCCCGUGAACCUUUACUAUAGCUUGACACUGAACAUUGAGCCUUGAUGUGUAGGAUAGGUGGGAGGCUUUGAAGCGUGGACGCCAGUCUGCAUGGAGCCGGCCUUGAAAUACCACCCUUUAAUGUUUGAUGUUCUAACGUGGACCCGUGAUCCGGGUUGCGGACAGUGUCUGGUGGGUAGUUUGACUGGGGCGGUCUCCUCCUAAAGAGUAACGGAGGAGCACGAAGGUUGGCUAAUCCUGGUCGGACAUCAGGAGGUUAGUGCAAUGGCAUAAGCCAGCUUGACUGCGAGCGUGACGGCGCGAGCAGGUGCGAAAGCAGGUCAUAGUGAUCCGGUGGUUCUGAAUGGAAGGGCCAUCGCUCAACGGAUAAAAGGUACUCCGGGGAUAACAGGCUGAUACCGCCCAAGAGUUCAUAUCGACGGCGGUGUUUGGCACCUCGAUGUCGGCUCAUCACAUCCUGGGGCUGAAGUAGGUCCCAAGGGUAUGGCUGUUCGCCAUUUAAAGUGGUACGCGAGCUGGGUUUAGAACGUCGUGAGACAGUUCGGUCCCUAUCUGCCGUGGGCGCUGGAGAACUGAGGGGGGCUGCUCCUAGUACGAGAGGACCGGAGUGGACGCAUCACUGGUGUUCGGGUUGUCAUGCCAAUGGCACUGCCCGGUAGCUAAAUGCGGAAGAGAUAAGUGCUGAAAGCAUCUAAGCACGAAACUUGCCCCGAGAUGAGUUCUCCCUGAGACUUAGAGUCUCCUGAAGGAACGUUGAAGACGACGACGUUGAUAGGCCGGGUGUGUAAGCGCAGCGAUGCGUUGAGCUAACCGGUACUAAUGAACCGUGAGGCUUAACCUUACAACGCCGAAG
rnacentral:rRNA from 1 species